rnacentral:tRNA from 1 species
AAAAAGAUAAGCUAACCAAGCUUUUGGGUUCAUACCUCAACCAUAAAGGCAUAAAUCCUUUUCUUUUUA